rnacentral:misc_RNA from 1 species
AGAGAAAAGAGGAAGAAAUGAUCUGCAAAAUAUGUGGUGAAUCAGGCCAUUUUACUCAGGGAUGCCCUUCAACCUUGGGAUCAAAUCGUAAAUCUCAAGAUUUUUUUGAAAGGGUACCAGCCAGGGAUAAACAUGUGAGAGCAAUUUUCACUGAUAGGGUAGUACAGAAAAUUGAAAAGGAUGUUGGUUGUAAGAUCAAGAUGGAUGAGAAAUUCAUAAUUGUUAGUGGCAAGGACAGG